AUGAAGGCGGAUGACUGGGAGGAGUUACAGUUGAAAGCAGCCGGGACUAUACGGUUGUGUCUGUCGGACCAGGUUAUUUAUCAUGUGAUGGAUGAGAAUUCGCCGAAGAAGAUCUGGGAGAAGCUGGAAAGUCAGUUUAUGUCCAAGACUGUGACGACCAAAGUGUAUCUGAAGCAAAAGCUGUAUGGGAUGAGGAUGCAGGAGGGGUCAGAUCUUGUGGAGUAUAUGAACGCCUUUAAUCAAGUCGUGACGGAUCUAGCACGCUUGGGUGCGAUGGUUGACGACGAGGAUAGGGAAAUUCUGCUUCUUUGUUCAUUGCCAUCAUCCUAUGACCAUUUGAUCACUACUUUGACGCACGGCAAGGAGACCAUCAAGAAUGAGGAUAUUACUGUGGCAUUGCUAUCUUAUGAUAUGAGAAAGAAGAACGCGGUGGAAGUCUCUCAUGGUGAAGGUUUGCUAGUCAAGGGUGAGCAGUGGCGGAAGGGAUAUGAGGCUGGAAAGAACAAGAAAAAGAAAAAAAUAUACAGUGUCACAAGUGUAAGCAGUGGGGACAUAUGCGAAAGGAUUGUCUAG
rnacentral:rRNA from 1 species